rnacentral:rRNA from 1 species
CUUGAACCCUAUAAGAGGUCCAGCCUGCCCAGUGAAACAAUUCAACGGCCGCGGUAUCCUAACCGUGCGAAGGUAGCGUAAUCACUUGUUCUCUAAAUCAGGACUAGUAUGAACGGCACCACGAGGGUUACACUGUCUCCUUUUUCCAAUUAGUGAACUUAAUUUUCCCGUGAAGAAGCGGGAAUAAACCUAUAAGACGAGAAGACCCUAUGGAGCUUUAAACAAUCUAGCAUUUGCCUAUAUCCUUCAUGUUCCAGAACUUUCUAAAUUUCCCCACAUAAUGACUAGAAGUUUUAGGUUGGGGUGACCACGGAGUAAAACUCACCCUCCAUAAUGAAAGAACUUUGAUUCUUAACUAAGAGAUACCUGUCUAAGUAUUAAUACACUAACAUCUAUUGACCCAAUACAAUUGAUCAACGAAC